AUCAAAUUCAUGCAUGUAAAUUAAGUAUGCAUUCUUAAUCGACAUACAAAAAUAAGUUAUCAAUCAAGUAGUUAAGCAAAUUAAAUCACAACUCAGAAAUCACAACUGAAGGUAAUCAAUUCAUAUUACAAAUAUAUUCAUGGCUUUGAAUUAACCUCUAGCUAAAAUAAAUUUAGUUACACAUUAUUCUCAAAUUAAACCAAAAGUUAAACAUGAGUUUGAGAAAAUAUACAACCCUUUUCUUCUUCUGCUGCCGUCUCCCUCUGACCUGCGUCAGUCCUUAUUGCGCCUUCUGCUGUGUUUUGCGCACUGCGGUCCUCUGACCUCUGUCCUUUUCCUCUGCGCCUUUUUCUCCUCACUUCUCUCCCCGCGCCCUGCUGGUCUCUGUUUCUGUCCGUGCUUUUUCUCAAGGCAGCUUUGCUGCUUCUGUGCCUUUCUCCCCCUCGGUUCCGCGUCCCUUUUGCGCCUCUUCAAUCUUUAUUUUCUUAUUCUAUUUCCUCCCUUCCACCAGUCUGCCCGUGUCCUCCUCUUAUUCUUCUUUUAAUUUUUUUAUUCCUUCUUUUCUUUUUUUAUUCCUCCAUCAUUCCCUUCUUUAUUCCUUUUCUUUUGUUUUUGCCGUCCAACACUCUCCUAUAUUUCCCUUUUGUUAUUCUUCUCCAUCAUUCCAUGUCUCCCACUUCUUUGUCAUCUUUUUCUUUUUUUUCAAUUCCAAUCUGCAAGUUGUCGUCAGCUAGACCUUCCCUUACUCAAAUACCCAUAACUUCUUCUAGAAAAAUGAUAUUAACAAUCCGAGAAAUGUUCUAGAAAAUAGACAUCUGUAGCUUUCCAAGCAUAUAAGGUUCAUUCUCUAAUUCAUUCUGAGCUGUUCGCAACUUGCUCCCAAAGUCAGCUGAUCUACACAGGCAGUUUUGACGAAUUUAUUACUUAAAAUUUCACUUGUUCUAUUUUUAUUUUCUUUGCUAGACAAAUCCUAUAAUACGAAAAAACAAAGUAAAUAGCUCAAAAAUAUAAGGAACUAACUAAGAAAAGACAAGUGAAUUUGAUGUAAAAUAUUUAUAAAUUUGAACUUAUCAAAUACCCCCACACUUAGCUUUUGCUAGUCCUCGAGCAAAACAAAGAAACAAGAACAAGAAGUAACAAGAAAAACAUUAGCUUCCCCCUAUGUGACCCUCAUAGAAUUUCAUUCGAGAACACAAAUCAACAAGAACCAUAGCUAGCAUCAAGGAACUAAUCCAAGUUCAUCUUCCUUAUUCAAAUAUUAGCAGUAAUCUUUGAAUCAUCCUUGAAGUGUAGUGUGUGAGAUAGCCAUGCUAAUGCAAUUUCAAAAUUUUUAUAUUUUUAAAAUCAUCAUAUGCAAACGAGCAACCUUCUCACGUGAUAUACACUCAAUCACACAUGUGUUUAGUUUAAAUGUGUUUCGCUCAAAGAAUCAAAUGUGAAAUUUCUACCAUAAGCUUGCAUAAAGAUCUCAUCUUCACAAUCAUAAUUGCAAAACUUAAAUCAAGAGGACUUUUAUUGGAUGUAAUGAGGUUUAGGGAGAGGGUUAUUGAAAUGAAAGAAUAGGUAAACACAAGUUCCAAGCUACAUUGCAAGCAAUUCUUUUCUUUAGAUUUAUAAGAACUCAACCUUUCCAACGAUUCUUUUAGCGCCUCCAUCCACACCCUUAAACUGAAACUUUAAAAACUUUUUAUUUCAUUUGUAUACAAUCUUUCUUUUUCUUUUCUCUUUUUUUUAUUUUUUUAUUUUUUUAUUUUUUUAUUUUUUAUAUAUACAAACAUGAAAUACCCCCCACACUUAUUCUUUUGCCAAACACCUUCAAAGUACUUCACAAACGUUUCUCAUAAGACAAUCUCGCAUUGCUCGCUUGGAAAGGAUAAGGAAAAAUGUUUCAGGUAUAAGGGUAGACAUAUAUGGUGAUAAGAAAUAAAAGGCUCAACAUACACGGCUCAAAUUGGCAAUCUAAUGAUAUCAUUUUUCUUUGGGAAACAUGGUUAUUUGGGCCAUAGUGGUAAACCUAAUGCCUCUAUCAUUUCCAAAUUCAUGCAAUCAAUGACAAACAUUUCGAAAGAUUGUUACGCAAGUUCUAGAGAUGUAUCUCACAUAAGUUCAUCACACAUGAAAGAAUAGGAGUGUAUGAAAAAUGCACACACUUUCAAUAGGCUCAAAAACUCACAUAGGAUGUAUAUGGUCACUAAAUUCACAUAUGAAGCUUUAAGUCAUGCUUUAGUUUCACAUCAACAAGGCUAUGUGCAUUUGGUUUUUCAAAGAUGAUCAAACAUGUACAAAACUAACAAGAGAAUUAGGAAUUUCACAAAACACAUUAACUAAGUUCUUGAUGAUCAUGGUUCAAAUUUGAUCCUAUUAUAUCAUUGGGUCGGGAAACUAACAAAAAUACAAUAAGGAAAACAAGACAAUAUUUUUGGAUUUUUAAAUAUUCCGAAUUUUUUUGUUUAAAAUUAAAAUUUUUUUAUUUUUUUUAAAAAAGAAAACAAAACUAAUUAAGAAAACAAAAAGCAACAACACGGAAACAAAUGAAACCCGUUCGUAGUUGAAGGUACAAAAAAUUUCAAUUUGGUCAUUUUUUAUACUCUUUACCCCCAAACUUAAACUGGACAUUGUCCCCAAUGUCAGAAAACACUAUAAUGCAAAUAAAAAAAAUAAAAAAUAAAUAAAUAAAUAAAUAAAUAAUAAGAAACAAAAUAAAGCAAUUGGACUGAAAACUUCCCUAAUUUGCAGUAAAAUCAAGCGAUGACCUCCAAGCUAAAAUUCUGCAAUCAACUUCAAGGGUGGAAAUAACCAAAAGUUGCUGCAAAGAAAAGAAAUAAUUCAGUUAAGUAACGCAAGAAAAUGUAAAAAAAAAAAAAUUGCAAACGAAAAAUUGAAAAUCACGAUAAAAGACAAUGAAUAGAACUAAUAAGUGAUCAUUGGUCGUGCUUGUUGACUUUCCACAGCUUUCCUCUUGAACGGGGUGACACUUAGCUUUUUACUUGCAAGUGAUGAUUUGAUGAUAUUGUACGGCGAGGUUUUUCUCUUUGGCGAUGUUGCAAUUCCUUAUUUGUUCUCCAAGCAGAUGUGGCAGCUUCUCUAGUUCUUCAACUCAGACUCCUUAUGCUGGGUUGAUUGUGCAAGCUGCAUUCUUCUCUGCUUGUUUCUUCUGCACAUUGUCUCCACAUGCUGCUGGUAUCAUUUUCGCUUGCCUUAUCUGUUCUUCAGGUAGAUGUGGCAGCUUUUUUGGAAGUACAUCAGCAGUGGAAGACGAGUACUCGAGAGCAAUUUCUCCAUGUCCUGCAGGUUAGAACAAAGACAAGGAAAAGGACAUGGAGAAUGCAUGAUAUGAGAUACUCUUGCUUUCAACCUUCAUGAUAUGAAAUACUUUUGCUUUGGAUAGGUUGUUUGCAGAGGUACCCCAAGGAAUAAGGAACACUGAGUGACUCGAGAGGGUGUGUUGGAAAUACAUUCUCAGAGAUGAAGAAGUGCUGAGAGGGUGUGCCUUUGCUGUGGAAGGCGAAGGUAUAUACUUAUAGGACUUUUCUUCACAACCGGAACUAUUCUCUCACUCAUUGUCGGCAGCCGGUGGAUGGAUAAAUAGUAUAAAUUACGCGCUUUCUGACAAAGCUGCCCAUAAUUUCCGCAAAGCUGCAAGUUGCAUGUGACGAGUGAUGACACGUCUGGACAAAUUGAUCUUUUGAAAUCCGGGGUUCGGCUCGUGGUUUCUGAGCAAGCCUAGCUUUUGAGAAAUGAAACGCCUCUUUUGAGAAAAGAAUCCGGCUUUUGAGAAAGGAGCCCCGACUCUUCGAUUUGCGAGAGGACGCUUCUUCGAUUUCUGAGGAGUGCCUCUCCGAUUUCUUCUUUUUAUAGAGGCGCUAAUUUUGUUCCACAACACACUUGAGCUCCUUCUUGUAAACACUCCCUUCUUGCAUUUUUUUUUUAAUCUUAAUCAGUUCGACUCUCUUAUUUCUUCACCACCUCUGAAAAAUGUCUGGCCCUUCCGACUGUCGUUUUGACUUGAACCUUGAUGAAGGAGCAGCCCCUCCUUCUCCAGACAACAUAUGGCGCCCGUCCCUCAUAUCCCCUACUGGUCCUCUCACCGUUGGGGAUUCGGUGAUGAAAAAUGACAUGACCGCUGCGGUGGUGGCCCGGAACCUUGUCACCCCCAGAGAUAACAGACUGCUUGCUAGACGGUCUGAUGAAUUGGCGGUUAAGGAGUCUCUGGCUCUUAGCGUGCAGUGUGCGGGUUCUGUGUCCAACAUGGCCCAACGCCUAUUUGCUCGAACCCGUCACGUUGAAUCGUUGGUGGCUGAAAUACAGAGUCUCAAAGAGGAGAUUAGAGGACUCAAGCAUGAAAAUAAACAAUUGCAUAAGCUUGCACACAAUUAUGCCACAAACAUGAAGAGGAAAAUUGACCAGCUGCAGGAAAAUGAUGGUCAGAUUUUACUUGAUCACCGGAGGUUUAUGGGUUUGUUCCAACCGCAUCUGCCUUCGUCUUCUGGGGCAGCACCGCGUAGUGAAGCUCCAACUGAUCAACCUCCGAUACCUCCUCCUUCCGUGGCCCCGCCGACUGCUGAAGCUCUGCCGACUACUGAAGCACCACCUGACCAAUGAAUGCUAUUAGUUUACACAUCAUUGUAAAAUAUUUUUACUUUUAUGUUUUUUUUUUUUUUUUUUUUUUUUUAGGUGUGUUUUUUUUUUUUUUUUUUAAAUCAAUGUAAAAUAUGUAAAUCAAUGUAAAAAGAUUUUGUUUAACCUUCCCCCACACUUAAACUAAAUAACACAAACUCACAGAAAUCAACCAAAUAACACAACUAACUGAACAAAACAAAAUGAAAGCAGUAAAGAUAAGGGUGUAAGAAUGCAAAUCUGAUUUGGUUAGCGAUUCCAAAGUCUCCCUUCGUUGAAUGCUUGGGUUGCCUCCCAAGAAGCGCUUGAUUUAACGUCUUUAGCCUGACGAAUCUUUCCUUUAAACUCCACUCAGCUCCAAAGCAUGGAAUUUAUCUUUUAAUGGGAGGUGAUACUUGAAAUGAUUCGGCAAUGGUUUAAAUUCAAGAGUGGGUGCCUGAAUCAUCAAAAUCAGAAACAUGUUAGUAUAAAUUAAAAUUAAAAUUGGAGAAGAUGGCUUACUUUCUUUUUCCGACACAAACUCAAUGACCAACACCACAUCUUUGAACAUUUCCGGGACUUUGAACUGGGCCAGGUUUACUAUGAUGGUUGUGGCUUGUCCUGUGUCAUCAAACUCAACUGCUUUGGGCUUGAUUGUCUCAUGCACAACCUCUUGGAUGUAUUCUUGAUAUGCUUCAACCACUUCAUUCUCUUGAAUCCCUUUUCUUGGUGUGCAAGGUUCUUUGAACGUUUCAAUACCAUCGGGAACUUGUUUUGGUGCACCAAGAAUUGGGAUAUCACUUUGCACCUUUGGAAGAGCUUCCACAAUGUCUUUUUCACUCUCUUUGAUAUUUGGAAUCAAAAACCUGCAAGGACAAAGGACAUUCGGUGGAAUAAUGUUAGAAUGAAGUGAAUUUAGAACUUCCUCACCUGAGUUGGAUGACAGAGGGAUUUGAGGAGCUUGCAGCAAGAAUUCUUCUAAACUGCCCAGGUCGUCCUCCUCCUCUUCUGCUUGUAGCAGCAAUUCAUCCAUGUUCGGGCUGUGUUUGGAUGGUUCUGGGACAGCUUCAUCCUUCAUGUCCCCUACCAAAGUGAUGGCUUCAUUUCACUUUCUGCCUUUGAAUUUUCAAUGUUUGAGUUGGAAAGUUCACUUUGAUCUCGAAUCUGUGCCAUGAAUUCCACAAUCUGCCCAACUUGCAUAUCCAAUUCGUCCACUCUUUUGACUCGGUCUUGCAUAUCUUGGUUUUGAUUUUCUACUCCCUGAUUCAAAGAGGUGAGUAACUUAUUAAGUGUAUCAUUAUCCAAGGACGUACCUGAAUUGAAUUGGGUUGAUUGUUGUGGUGGCUGUGACGAUUCAUAUGGCCACUGAUAGAACUCUUCCGAUGGCGAAAAUUGUUCUUCUUUUUGAAAACCCUGCGCCAAAGAAAUUAGUCCUUCAAGAAUUUCAUUAUAAUUCACGGGCAUACUUUGAUUUGAUUGGACUUGUUGUGGGGGAUGCUGUGGUGGCUGCAUAGGUCUUGAAUAGAACUCGUCUUGCUGCCAAUAUGCAUCUUGUUGAGCCUCCUUGGCUUGAUUUUGUGAGCCCUGCACCAAACAAUUUAAUUCAUUAAGAAUUUGAUUAUAAUUUAUUGACGAACCUGAGUUUGAUUAAGCAUAUUGCAUAGGUUUUGAAUAGAACUCCUCCUCUUGCUGCCAAUAUUCAUCUUGUUGGAAUUGUUGAGGUUCCCCCCACAUAUAAUUUGAAUGAUCUCUCCAAGCCGAAUUGUAAGCGUUGGAAAAACAUGUUGUUGCUUGGUUGAUCAUAGCUUUGAUAACCCCAAGCAUCUUCGUUCACAGUGAAUUGAGGAUGUUGAUGAGUUUGAUAUCCGUGCCCGUAAGACACACCAAAUGUAGGGACAUUUUGCAUUGUAGUCCUUCCGGCAAUCUGUGACAAUUGAGAAGUAAGAUUCGCCAAUUGAGCUUGAAUGUUAGCAAAAUCCAUAUCUUACUUCUCUAGAACCUAAAAUCAAAGAAAGAAAAAUAAAUCAAGUAUCAAAAGUAAAAUACACAAAUACCAAUAUAAACAUAAACAAAAACAAAAAUAAAGGGAUUAGCAAAGUUGCUAAUCCCCGGCAACGGCGCCAAAAUUUGAUGUGAAAAAUAAGUUAACACACAAAUUAAACCCUCUUUUUGACAAUUGUAGUAUAGAUGUAAGUAGGGUAUCGUUCUAGGCCGGGGAUUAGGAGGGAUUGCUAAUCUAUUCUAAAUUAAUUUAAAAAUAUUAAAUAAGACUCAAGGACACAAAACUAGGCUAAAAACUCUAAUAACUCGAAACACACUUAGAAUGACUCAAAAUAAUGGAAACAAUCAAUUUAGACACUAGGAACUGAAAUGGACGGAAAUUGAAUUAAAAGACUAACAACAAUGAACACUAACUAAAUAAUAUAAUUUAAUAAUGGGGGGGGUUUGGUUUUGACGAGAAGUAAAUUAAACUUAAAUAAAUUACAGAAUUGACAAAAGCAUGAAUUAAGGUGAAAGGAUAGGUGACGGACUAGCUAGAGGGUUCUUCUCCACACAUGACACAUAUGCAACCUAAAUUGAUUUUCAGUUGUUCUUUCAAUAAAUUGUGAAUGACAAUGUUCCAAGUUAAUUAGGUCCGCUUAAAUUAACUCUUAGAUUUCCCUAGAUUCAUUGGAUUGAAUGGAAUACGCAUUACAACCAAAUUAUUCCUCAUCAAAGUCCCUAACUAUGGAAUACGCAUGAUAGAGACAUUCAACAAAGAUCAUUAAGUUCAACGGAAAUCAUAAACAUUGACUAGGCAUUCAUAACUAUGGAAUACGCAUGUUAAUCCAGCCUAGAAUUCACUUAACACGAUUGUGGAUAACAACCUUCACUACUUGUGAAUAUAAGUUCAUAACGAUUAGGUGAAAUUCACUUAUAUUCUAGCAUCAAAUUCAUGCAUGUAAAUUAAGUAUGCAUUCUUAAUCGACAUACAAAAAUAAGUUAUCAAUCAAGCAGUUAAGCAAAUUAAAUCACAACUCAGAAAUCACAACUGAAUGUAAUCAAUUCAUAUUACAAAUAUAUUCAUGGCUUUGAAUUAACCUCUAGCCAAAAUAAAUUUAGUUACACAUUAUUCUCAAAUUAAACCAAAAGUUAAACAUGAGUUUGAGAAAAUAUACAACCCUUUUCUUCUUCUGCUGCCGUCUCCCUCUGACCUGCGUCAGUCCUUACUGCGCCUUCUGCUGUGUUUUGCGCACUACGGUCCUCUGACCUCUGUCCUUUUCCUCUGCGCCUUUUUCUCCUCACUUCUCUCCCCGCGCCCUGCUGGUUUCUGUUUCUGUCCUUGCUUUUUCUCAAGGCAGCUUUGCUGCUUCUGUGCCUUUCUCCCCCUCGGUUCCGCGUCCCUUUUGCGCCUCUUCAAUCUUUAUUUUCUUAUUCUAUUUCCUCCCUUCCACCAGUCUGCCCGUGUCCUCCUCUUAUUCUUCUUUUAAUUUUUUUAUUCCUUCUUUUCUUUUUUUAUUCCUCCAUCAUUCCCUUCUUUAUUCCUUUUCUUUUGUUUUUGCCGUCCAACACUCUCCUAUAUUUCCCUUUUGUUAUUCU
rnacentral:lncRNA from 1 species